AAACCAUAUAUGAUAGCCGUAUUCUAGUAAUGGUGAGGUGGAGGGGGUGAUGCGUAAAUGUAAUGGGGUGGUGGUGGUGACUUGUGUACUGGUGGUGGUGGGGGAGGAGACUUGUAUUUAUAAACUGGGGUAGGAGGUGGGGGAGGAGACUUGUAUUUGUAUGGCUUCUUGGGAGGAGGUGGAGGAGGAGACUUGUAAACGGGAGGAGGUGGUGGGGGAGACUUGUACUUGUAUGGCUUCUCGGGAGGAGGAGGUGGUGACUUGUAAACUGGUGGUGGAGGAGGUGGAGACUUAUAAAUUGGAGGUGGUGGGGGAGACUUAUACUUGUACGGCUUCUUGGGUGGUGGGGGAGGUGACUUGUAAACUGGCGGAGGUGGAGGAGGAGACUUGUAUUUGUAAACUGGUGGAGGAGGUGGUGGAGACUUGUACUUGUAAGGAUGUGGUGGUGGUGGUGGAGAAUGAACCGGAGGAGGCGGUGGUGACUUGUACUUGUAGGGCUUUUUGGGUGGUGGUGGAGACUUAUGCACCGGUGGAGGGGGUGGGGGGGACUUGUACUUGUAAGGGUGUGGUGGUGGUGGUGGAGAAUGCACUGGAGGAGG
rnacentral:lncRNA from 1 species